GAUAUUUACUUCCUUGUUAUGGUACGUUCUCAAGUGACCAAUUCCAGAUCGACGGGUUCAAACAGAAAGAUUUUGAAAGCAGAGAAAACUGGCGCAAGGAGAAGCUCGUGGAUUCAGGCAAUCAGAAGAGACCCUGGACCACUAUUCAAUACCCUUUUCCUGGACUACCUGACCCACCAGCGGCAAUAGCUGCCCACAUGGUAUCCUUCUCUACACAUAACUCGUCAAGCUUUAUCUUACGAGAAUCGGAUGUAUUUUGAAUUUCAGUCAUUUGAGAAAAAAAAUGACAGUAAUUGAUAUCAAUGUUUGAUAUAUGUGUAAUUGUAAUUGUAACCUGUGAUAUGUAUAUAGAAGUGUGAUUACAAUAAAGAUAAAAAAAAAAGGCCGCUGGACACGGUGCAGACGGUGUUGCCACGCUGUCACAGAAGCAACGAUUCGAAUCCCGCUGAGGGAAGAACUAAAAUAUGCUAUUGCAAAUUUGAAGAUCUAACAUUGUUUUGGACUAAAUUUGAGGUGAUACUAAGUCAAAAUUUUAUUGAUGAUAUGUGAAGAACUGGAAUUAGGGAUUGAUAAAUGCUUGCGAAUAUAGAGGAGGCAAGAUAUCCAAAGUUUCGAUAUUUCGAUUGUGAUGAUAGAAAAACGGUCGAAGAAAUCAGAAACAUACUGAGCUCAAAGGAGUUAAAUAAGUCCAGACCAUUAGAUUAAUGACGAUGAUAAUGCAUACUAAUUUACCGCUGGAAAAUAUAUUAGUAAACAAAAUGAUCCACACGAAGCGAAACGUUAUGGGCUUCUAUUUUUGUAUUUGUGAAUUAUGCGAGAACAAUGGCCAUACUCUUGUUAUACAAAAUAAAGCAUUUUUCAAUUUAAA